GUGAGGAAUCUUCCACAAUGGGCGAAAGCCUGAUGGAGCAACGCCGCGUGAAGGAUGAAGGUCUUCGGAUUGUAAACUUCUUUUAUGAGUGAAGAAUAUGACGGUAACUCAUGAAUAAGCACCGGCUAACUACGUGCCAGCAGCCGCGGUCAUACGUAGGGUGCAAGCAUUAUCCGGAGUGACUGGGCGUAAAGAGUUGCGUAGGCGGUUAUGUAAGCGAAUAGUGAAACCUGGUGGCUCAACCACACAGACUAUUAUUCGAACUGCAUAACUCGAGAAUGGUAGAGGUAACUGGAAUUUCUGGUGUAGGAGUGAAAUCCGUAGAUAUAAGAAGGAACACCAAUGGCGUAGGCAGGUUACUGGGCCAUUUCUGACGCUAAGGCACGAAAGCGUGGGGAGCGAACCGGAUUAGAAACCCUUGUAGUCC
rnacentral:rRNA from 1 species